rnacentral:rRNA from 1 species
UGGGGAAUAUUGCACAAUGGGCGCAAGCCUGAUGCAGCCAUGCCGCGUGUAUGAAGAAGGCCUUCGGGUUGUAAAGUACUUUCAGCGGGGAGGAAGGGAGUAAAGUUAAUACCUUUGCUCAUUGACGUUACCCGCAGAAGAAGCACCGGCUAACUCCGUGCCAGCAGCCGCGGUAAUACGGAGGGUGCAAGCGUUAAUCGGAAUUACUGGGCGUAAAGCGCACGCAGGCGGUUUGUUAAGUCAGAUGUGAAAUCCCCGGGCUCAACCUGGGAACUGCAUCUGAUACUGGCAAGCUUGAGUCUCGUAGAGGGGGGUAGAAUUCCAGGUGUAGCGGUGAAAUGCGUAGAGAUCUGGAGGAAUACCGGUGGCGAAGGCGGCCCCCUGGACGACGACUGACGCUCAGGUGCGAAAGCGUGGGGAGCAAACAGG